rnacentral:rRNA from 1 species
GACGAACGCUGGCGGCGUGCCUAAUACAUGCAAGUAGAACGCUGAAGAGAGGAGCUUGCUCUUCUGGAUGAGUUGCGAACGGGUGAGUAACGCGUAGGUAACCUGCCUUGUAGCGGGGGAUAACUAUUGGAAACGAUAGCUAAUACCGCAUAACAAUGGGUGACACAUGUCAUUUAUUUGAAAGGGGCAAUUGCUCCACUACAAGACGGACCUGCGUUGUAUUAGCUAGUAGGUGAGGUAACGGCUCACCUAGGCGACGAUACAUAGCCGACCUGAGAGGGUGAUCGGCCACACUGGGACUGAGACACGGCCCAGACUCCUACGGGAGGCAGCAGUAGGGAAUCUUCGGCAAUGGGGGCAACCCUGACCGAGCAACGCCGCGUGAGUGAAGAAGGUUUUCGGAUCGUAAAGCUCUGUUGUAAGAGAAGAACGAGUGUGAGAGUGGAAAGUUCACACUGUGACGGUAGCUUACCAGAAAGGGACGGCUAACUACGUGCCAGCAGCCGCGGUAAUACGUAGGUCCCGAGCGUUGUCCGGAUUUAUUGGGCGUAAAGCGAGCGCAGGCGGUUUGAUAAGUCUGAAGUUAAAGGCUGUGGCUCAACCAUAGUUCGCUUUGGAAACUGUCAAACUUGAGUGCAGAAGGGGAGAGUGGAAUUCCAUGUGUAGCGGUGAAAUGCGUAGAUAUAUGGAGGAACACCGGUGGCGAAAGCGGCUCUCUGGUCUGUAACUGACGCUGAGGCUCGAAAGCGUGGGGAGCGAACAGG